rnacentral:rRNA from 1 species
UAGGUGGUUUGAUAAGUCAGCGGUGAAAGUUUGCAGCUUAACUGUAAAAAUGCCGUUGAAACUGUCGGACUUGAGUGUAAAUGAGGUAGGCGGAAUGCGUGGUGUAGCGGUGAAAUGCAUAGAUAUCACGCAGAACUCCGAUUGCGAAGGCAGCUUACUAAGCUACAACUGACACUGAAGCACGAAAGCGUGGGGAUCAAACAGGAUUAGAUACCCUGGUAGUCCACGCAGUAAACGAUGAUUACUAGCUGUUUGCGAUACACAGUAAGCGGCACAGCGAAAGCGUUAAGUAAUCCACCUGGGGAGUACGCCGGCAACGGUGAAACUCAAAGGAAUUGACGGGGGCCCGCACAAGCGGAGGAACAUGUGGUUUAAUUCGAUGAUACGCGAGGAACCUUACCCGGGUUUGAACGUAGGGAGACAGGGGUGGAAACAUCCUAUUCAGCAAUGACUGCCUACGAGGUGCUGCAUGGUUGUCGUCAGCUCGUGCCGUGAGGUGUCGGCUUAAGUGCCAUAACGAGCGCAACCCUUAUUUCCAGUUACUAACAGGUGAUGCUGAGGACUCUGGAGAGACUGCCAGCGUAAGCUGUGAGGAAGGUGGGGAUGACGUCAAAUCAGCACGGCCCUUACAUCCGGGGCGACACACGUGUUACAAUGGUAAGGACAAAGGGCAGCUACCGGGCGACCGGAUGCGAAUCUCUAAACCUUAUCUCAGUUCGGAUCGGAGUCUGCAACUCGACUCCGUGAAGCUGGAUUCGCUAGUAAUCGCGCAUCAGCCAUGGCGCGGUGAAUACGUUCCCGGGCCUUGUACACACCGCCCGUCAAGCCAUGGGAGCCGGGGGUACCUGAAGUUCGUAACCGCAAGGAUCGACCUAGGGUAAAACUGGUGACUGGGGCUAAGUCGUAACAAGGUAGCCG